UGAGCACUCCCACCUCCUUGAGAGGGUAAGGCUCCCAGUAGACGACUGGGUUGAUAGGCCGGAUAUGGAAGCCCUGUGAGGGGUGGAGUUGACCGGUACUAAUAGGCCGAGGGCUUGUCCU
rnacentral:rRNA from 1 species